AACGAACGCUGGCGGCGUGCCUAACACAUGCAAGUCGAACGAGAAAGGCCCCUUCGGGGGCUGAGUAAAGUGGCGCACGGGUGAGUAACACGUGGGUAAUCUGCCCUCGGGUUCGGGACAACAUUCCGAAAGGAGUGCUAAUACCGGAUAUGACCACGCCCUCGUCAGAGGGUGAGGUAAAAGGUGGCCUCUCCAUGGAAGCUAUCACCUGAGGAUGAGCCUGCGUCCCAUCAGCUUGUUGGUGAGGUAACGGCUCACCAAGGCCGAGACGGGUAGCUGGUCUGAGAGGAUGGUCAGCCACACUGGAACUGAGACACGGUCCAGACUCCUACGGGAGGCAG
rnacentral:rRNA from 1 species